AAAAUGACUCUCGGCAACGGAUAUCUCGGCUCUCGCAUCGAUGAAGAACGUAGCGAAAUGCGAUACUUGGUGUGAAUUGCAGAAUCCCGUGAACCAUCGAGUCUUUGAACGCAAGUUGCGCCCCAAGCCUUUGGGCCGAGGGCACGUCUGCCUGGGUGUCACGC
rnacentral:rRNA from 3 species